UAAUUUUGGCUGUAAAAGUUUAUUGAUAACUGAAAAUUGCAUGCUCUUUUAAAGGAACUAAUAAAUGCAUAAUAAAGACAAGUGAAUACUGUUAAACUGAGCUCUCUGACAUUGAAUAAGCCAAUCAGGCAAGCUAUACACUUUGAUCAAUCUAACUAUAGUAAAAAUAAAAAACAAAUACUAAGGAAAUAUGUUCCAUAACAAUAUAAGUAAAGUGAGAAAAAAAAACAUUGGUAUUCAAUGAGAACCUUUUAAGUUCCACUUUAUACUGUAAUAUGAUUAUACGAGUUAUUACCCAAAAAUUGGUAUGGACAAUCAUAAAUAAAAAAAACAGACUUGUGGUGACUAGCUAACUAUUCACUCUUAGUACAAUUGUGCUAGUAGGGUAAAUCAAUUAAAUAUGGAAGAUGUCUAAAUUCCAAAAGAAAAAGAAAAGAUUUUUUUUUUGAUUAUUUAAAAAUUUCUUGUUUUCAAAAUGUGUUCAGAGCACACAAAAGAAAAAGUGUUAAAAAUAUGCACACACACAAAAUUUUAACAAGCAAAUAUUCAGCACAUAUAGAAUUAUCAGUAAACAUGAUUGAAAUAGUUCCUAUCAAGGUUAAGUACUAACAUAAAACAUUUGAAUAAUUAAUCAAUUAAUAUUGACAAGGAGAUUAAAAAAUCGGGGGUGGGGGGGGGGGGGGGUGGAGGAA